CCUACGGGGUGCAGCAGUGAGGAAUAUUGGUCAAUGGACGCAAGUCUGAACCAGCCAUGCCGCGUGCAGGAAGACGGCUCUAUGAGUUGUAAACUGCUUUUGUACGAGGGUAAACGAAGAUACGUGUACCUGUCUGAAAGUAUCGUACGAAUAAGGAUCGGCUAACUCCGUGCCAGCAGCCGCGGUAAUACGGAGGAUUCAAGCGUUCUCCGGAUUUAUUGGGUUUAAAGGGUGCGUAGGCGGUCGGAUAAGUUAGAGGUGAAAUCCCGAGGCUCAACUUCGGAAUUGCCUCUGAUACUGUUAGGCUAGAGAGUAGUGGCGGUAGGCGGAAUGUAUGGUGUAGCGGUGAAAUGCUUAGAGAUCAUACAGAACACCGAUUGCGAAGGCAGCUUACCAAGCUACGUCUGACGUUGAGGCACGAAAGCGUGGGGAGCAAACAGGAUUAGAUACCCCAGUAGUC
rnacentral:rRNA from 1 species